rnacentral:lncRNA from 1 species
CGUGAGUGAUUUUUUAUUUACCGUGGUUGCAACCUAUUGCUCCUAUUCUUCCCACUUGAGAUUGAUCGUCGAGAUUGAUGUGGCCAAAAUGAAAUAGUUACUGGAGUUUCAUCCGAAUUCUACAAAGAGUUCUCACCAGUGUGUUCUUCAAUGAAGAUCCUCCGAUGCUCUAGUUAAGAGAUAGAGAAUGAUGAGAAGAGAGAGUGAGGAGUCGAUUGCAUACCUUGAGAAUCUCAUAGUUUUUAUUUAUAAAGAAGAAGUUGAAGUCGUACCAUCUUGGAGUCUUAAUAAUUUUUGGAUUUGUUGCACAGAUUGAUUCGGAUCAGAUAUUUUCUUUUUAUAGAAGACUCGAUCGUGGAGGAAUUUCAUUCUAUUUGGACUUUUUCAAUCUGAUAGAGAGACGGAUUUGGUAAGAAACUUAGCUCGACCAAGGACGAGCUAUAAUAGAUCAUCCGAGGCCGAGGUUCUGAAAUCCGAAGAGUAGGCAUUCGACCUCAAAUUGGCUGAG